AUUUCGAGAAUCCAAGCUUCCCUCCACACUCGUAGGUUCUACUCUGGCUGCUGUUUUGAAAUUUCCUUCAACUACCCUGAGAAGGGGGGAAAAAUGUGUAAAAGAAGAGGGUAUGCUGUUACUCUUUUAUUAAUCCUGGAGAGUCAGACAAUUAACCUUUUAUAAUGAAGAGAACACCACUCACCUACGCGAACAGACUUUCACCUCAUUAACUUGGUGGAGGCAGAAUGCAGCUUUGAAAGCAAGGAAGUCUAAAUCUGCUUCCUAGUGACUUUAACACCUUGCCUCUACUGCACCAUCUGUAUCCAAGACAACUUAAAUUGUCUUCCAUUUGACAACCUUCAGGAAUUCUUCUCCAGGUCAAAGGUUAGAGUGAACCUGUAGAGAGCUCUGGCCUGAUGUCUGUCACAUCUGCAGAAGGUCCAUCUUCCUCUGAUGUCUCUCUGGCCUUUGUGCUGCUGCUCAGUGCCACCUCUUACCAGAAGAGGAAACUCCAAUCAACUCAGACUUCCCACUUAAAUGUCUCUGACAAGAGCCUUGAUGAAAGAGGAAACUGAAUAGAUUAUUUAUGUGAUAAAUUCAGUGAAGAAGGAGAUUUUUCCCCCUCAAUCAUGCUGUUUUUGAAUGUUAUCAUUGUGGACAAUCAGGAGUGGUCUACCUAUCUAAAUUGGGGAAUAAAAAGUCUCUACCUCUUUAAGAGACCUUGAGGGAAGUCCUUCAAAGACAGAUGAAACCAGGCUAGACCACAGAAUUAAAAUUAGAAUAAUUGUUAAAUAAGUUACUGAUCUUGAUGGGAGGCUCAGCUGAUUAAGAGUCCAGGAAGAAAGUGAAAUAAUAAUAAUCUGAAGAUCUAUAAACACAUAUAUACAUAUAUAUACAUACAUAC